AGCAAUGCUGAAGGUGGGUGUGUGGGGGGUGCUCAGGUAUAAGCAUUGGGCAUCUGGGGCCACACAGAGAUUGGAACUGAAAUAAAUGGAGGUUACUGGACCAGGGUGGACGAGUCUGAGGAUUACGAUAGCUACAUUUUUUUGAAUAACUCUAAUGAACCAGAACUUUGCUGUUCAAAGCGUGGUCAAUGGACCAUCAGCAUCACCUGGGAUCUCACUCCACAUUUAUUGAAACAGAGCUCGCAUUUUAACAGGCUUUCAGGUACCAAGAGUGCCUCAAUCAGCAGCAAGGGAGCAACUCAAAUAUGUCUGGACUACGUAUCAGUAAGGAUGCCUUUACAGAGAUAUGAGAAUGUGCCACACUUCAGGCCAUACCAGUUUGAGUUAUUCAGUCUGGACGGGCAACUGUACUGUUGUAAAUGUCUCUCCUUUGAAAUUGACCCACUGGAUCUCAGGAGCCAUUCCAGUAUGUCGGAAACACAUGAAUACUUCCCACAUUUAUAGUUUUGUGUGAGUGCUGCUGUGUGCCGAGCAAGGUAUGAUAGGUGGGUACAGCGAUGAUUUCAUUUGAUUCACAUCACAAUGCCGGGAAGUGAGGGACACUAUCACUCUCUUAAUGAUAAGGAAAUGAAGUUUCAGGGGUUGUUGCUUCUUUCCUGUUUGCCUGUCUCUCUGUUUCUUCAACUAGACUUUUCUACUCAUUUUCUUUUCUUUUUUUUUUUUUUAUUUCAGCUUAUUAUGGGGGUACAAAAGUUCAGGUUAUCUAUAUUGCCCAUGUACCGCCCAUCCUUUUCUACUCAUUUUCUAUACAAAACUCUGAAGGGAUCUGCAGAGGGCUGGGUUGGUUUUAAACCUUCCCCACUGAACUCUGCUUCUAAGCCUCAAUCAUAACCAUUUUUCUCCAGCUGUAGAGUAUACCUGUACUAAAAGAAUGUCUGGAAAUCACAAAGAAGUGAUUUCUUUUCUUUCCUAAGAGAAUUUCUAACUAGUUUGACUUUUCCUUAGCUGGUGCUGCUUCUAAGUCCCUACAGACCUUCGUGGCCAAAGUAACAGACUCAGGGAUACAUAUUUUUGAGUUGUUAUAACAACAGAAUCAAAUCACAGUGAAGUGGAGACAAUCAAUUUUUGCAGUUGAUUGGAAAGACAAUUAGGAAAUUGGAUUGUCAGGGCAAUAGCUAAUUUAGUUACUGCUCCAGAGUUCUCAGAGGACAAAGCAAAGUUGUUUUUUCUUGGUCGGGGGUUUGUUAUUUUGGGAGUUAGGAGGAAAGAAUGGGUUAAAUAAAUUAUGGCAUAUCCAUAAAAUGAGACAUGAUUACUGCUGACUUUUUUCAAUGCCUACUAUACAUAGGGCACAAAGAUGAACAAAGCAGGCAAAAUUCCUACCCUCAUAGAAUUUACUGUAUAUAGAAUAAAGUAGAACUAUGUAGACUUAUAUAUACUAUUGUUGGAAGUCAUCCAAAUGCAUUGUAAAAAUUCAAUAUGUAAAAAAAGUAUAUGUGUUUAUAUACAAUUAUUAAUGGCAGUUAUCUCUGAGGAUUAGUAAUGGGUUCAGGUUGGGAAUGGGGGAAUGGACAGGAAUGGUGGACUUUAUACAUUUUUUGUGGCAGGGACUGCUAACUGCCUGCCCUCACAUCCCUUCUUCAGUCAAAAUGAAAUGAAACAAAACACACCAAAAACAGACCAACUCCAAACAUUCCCCAGACUCCUGUGGCAUGGCAUAGUCAUGUGACUAAGUUCUGAGCAACCUGUAAAUAGAAGUGUUGUAUAGGACAGCUAGGAAGGCUCCUUAGAAGGGAAGGGACUAGCCCUUUUGCUCAUGUAUCUUUCUGCUGCCUGGAAUGUGGAUUUGUCAUGUGGCCCCAGCAGCCACCUUGGACCAUGAGGAGAUCUGGAGGGUGGAAGCCAUGAACAGCAGAACACUAGGAUGAAGGCUUGAGUCUUCUUCAUACCAACCCACUACUGCUCUGCUGUCUACUAUGGUACUAGCACUAGCUACAUCCGGAUAUUUUAACUUCAAUUAGAAUUACAUAAAUAGUGUUCAAGUGCAACAGGGCAACUAUAGUUAACAAUAAUUUAUUAUAUUUCAGAAUAGCUAGAAGUUUUCUGAUGUUCCCAACAUAAAGCAAU